rnacentral:rRNA from 1 species
UACGUAGGGCGCAAGCGUUGUCCGGAAUUAUUGGGCGUAAAGAGCUCGUAGGCGGUCUGUCGCGUCGGUUGUGAAAACCCAAGGCUCAACCUUGGGCCUGCAAUCGAUACGGGCAGACUAGAGUACUGCAGGGGAGACUGGAAUUCCUGGUGUAGCGGUGGAAUGCGCAGAUAUCGGGAAGAACACCGGUGGCGAAGGCGGUUCUCUGGGCAUGUCCUGACGCUGAGGAGCGAAAGUGUGGGGAGCGAACAGG